ACAGAUAAUAUAGAUUAGUGAAAUAGGAAAAAGAAAGUCUGGAGCUUAGAGCUAGGAUAUGAGACAAUGCCACCCCUCUACUUCAUUUUCUGAGCUGUCUAUACCCAUCCAGUGAAAAACUGUCCAUGCUGUAUUUUAAUUUUUUUGCUGGCACCUGCCCUGAUUAUUUCACUGAAAUGCUCUUCCAUUACGUCCCAGCUAGACAACUCCUCGUCUGAUGAUCGUCUACUCUUCCUGUCACCAAAACAACAGAUGGUCACAGACUACUUAGUUAUUGUGCAGCGGAACAAUGGAACUCUCUCCCUUUCCUUAUCCACCACCUACACACUAUUGAAUCCUUUAAACGUGAACUGAAAACGCACUUCUUCGAUCCACAAACAUUACUCCUAACAACCUUUCCCAUAAUGCUAGUCCUUUUUCACGCCCUUCCUUUCGCAAUAUCAUGUUACCCUCAGCUCUUGUUCUUGUUAUUUGGUUCAUCUUUGUGUUUUCUGUACUUUAGUUUAUUCUUCAUUAGUACAGAUGUUUAUUCUUUUAUAGUUCAUAUGUUGUUUGUCUUCCUGUCCCUCGUAUUCUGUCCAUGUUUCGUUCUUGUUCUUAAGUGCUAAGCUAGCAUAUAUUCCUUAGGGAGUGUGAGUAUUCGCUUUACAAAUUUUGCAUUUUUAUUGAUUACUAUUAUUAUUUUGAGGUAAUUUUUUAACAUCAGUAAAAAUACCUGGAAUUAGAUGUAAGGGUAAUAAAGGUACAAACUAAUGCCAGGCAAACUUCUUCUGACUGUGUGUCCAUGUCUGUCGCUACAAAAUUCUUUCUAGUGCUUAGUGUACAUAUUUAGGGGGGGGGGGAAGCGUUAUAGUUAAUGCAGAUGCCAAAACCCUAUUUCCAACUUUAAUUAAUUCUACCCCAUUUGCUUUCAACAUACAGUGGAAAAACAAAUUAAGAAAAAAAAAAAAAACAGAAGUAAGAUGAAAAGAAAAUGAGAUGGAGAAACUAUGACAAGUUUAUGAAUGAGUUAAGGUAGAAUAGAGGAAGUGCUCGCUUCAAACCUUCCUUGGCUUAAUCUGAAAUGGGGAAGAUUUCAGUUGCUUAGUUUGUUCUGAUCCCCUCCUAAGCACAUCAAUCAUGGGGCUGACGCUGAUGUAUUUGGGUUAGGAAUAGCAUUCUUUUUUUCUUUCAAUCACAUCAAAGGGUUUCUACUGUUUCUCCAGCCUUCGAGUAAUUUGCCGAUUAUCUCUCGUGGAUCAUUUAGCGUCAACACGGCGCCCUACAGAUUCGAUUGGAUUGCUCGUUCUUCACAAGUACUCUCUGGCGGGAAAGUUUGAUAAAUGGAUAACCUUCGACACAAGCAGGCUUAACUAGUUAUGGAACAGACGACCAUUGUUAAGGUAGCGCCCUCAAAGCCGUCCUGGCAUAGGCAAGUGAAGCUGUCUCCACUAUUGACACAGGUACCUUGAUUGCCGCAAGGGUUGCUGUCGCACGCAUGGACCGACGCUACACAGCAGACAGGAGAUUCAAAACCCGGGCUGACACUCGCAGAAGUAGUCACCGAUGAGGUUGCGGCAGGCAUAGGCGUUGGCGCAGGGGCUGCCACUGCACUCGUCCGCAUCCAGCUGACAAUGGGGGCCUUGCCAGCCAGGUGGACACACGCAUUCG
rnacentral:lncRNA from 1 species